rnacentral:rRNA from 1 species
UACGUAGGGUGCAAGCGUUGUCCGGAAUUAUUGGGCGUAAAGAGCUCGUAGGCGGUCUGUCGCGUCGGAUGUGAAAAUCCAGGGCUCAACCCUGGACCUGCAUUCGAUACGGGCAGACUAGAGUUCGGCAGGGGAGACUGGAAUUCCUGGUGUAGCGGUGAAAUGCGUUGAUAUCAUCUGGAAUACCGGAGGCGAAGGCGGCUCACUGGGGCUUUUCUGACGCUGAGGAACGAAAGCCAGGGUAGCGAACGGG